GGAUGUGAGGGCGAUCUGGUUGCGACAUCUGUCACCCCAUUGAUCGCCAGGGUUGAUUCGGCUGAUCUGGCUGGCUAGGCGGGUGUCCCCUUCCUCCCUCACCGCUCCAUGUGCGUCCCUCCCCGAAGCUGCGCACUCGGUCAAAGAGGACGGUCUUCCCCGAAUAGAGACGGACCGGUCUUCGGACGAGGGUAUACGAGUAGCUGCGCUCCCCUGCUAGAACCUCCAAACAAGCUCUCAAAAAGUGAGUCAUACCAGGAUAAGAACAGCUAGUGUCUUUUUACACGAAGGGUCUUUGAUACAGUCAGUAGAGUUACUCCU
rnacentral:snRNA from 1 species